rnacentral:rRNA from 1 species
AUUGAACGCUGGCGGCGUGCUUAACACAUGCAAGUCGAGCGGUAACAGGCGCAGCAAUACGUGCUGACGAGCGGCGAACGGGUGCGUAAUACAUGGGAAUCUGCCCUUUGGUGGGGAAUAACCCGGCGAAAGCCGGGCUAAUGCCGCAUAAGAUCUUCGGAUGAAAGCGGGGGAUCGUAAGACCUCGCGCCGAUGGAUGAGCCCAUGUCGGAUUAGCUAGUUGGUGAGGUAACGGCUCACCAAGGCGACGAUCCGUAGCUGGUCUGAGAGGACGGCCAGCCACACUGGGACUGAGACACGGCCCAGACUCCUACGGGAGGCAGCAGUGGGGAAUAUUGGACAAUGGGCGAAAGCCUGAUCCAGCGACGCCGCGUGUGUGAAGAAGGCCUGCGGGUUGUAAAGCACUUUCGAUGGGAACGAAAUGUGUCGGGCUAAUACCCCGGCAAGCUGACGUUACUCAAUGAAGAAGCACCGGCUAACUCUGUGCCAGCAGCCGCCGUAAAAC